ACCAGAUCCUAGCAGCUCUCUUGUUAAUUUCAGUGGAACAUUUAGUCAGUCUUUCUGCACUUUCCCUUAACUUAGCUUUUCUCUCCACACUCUCACCCCACCUCUGCGGGAUGGGAAGCCAGGCUGAAGGCAAAGGAGAUGGCCACCCUCUAGGGGAUCCAGGCAAAGCGAGAUAAAGGUCAAGGAAGACUUCUUCACUAGGUCCAGUUCAGCAAGGACACUUGUCAACACUUGUGGCCAGAUGCUGGGCACAGUGCAUCUCGGGAACUGAAGCAGGAGGAUCGCAAGAGACCAGCCGGGGCAACUUAGGGAGACCCUACCUCAAAAUAUCAAAUUUUAAGAGGGGUGGGUGAGAGGUGUUGGUGAAGUGGCUCUGUGGCUGAGCACCUCUGGGUUCAAUCCCCAGUACCAACAAAAAGAGAAAAAAACUGUGGUCAGAUAAACUGGGUUCGUGCCUGGGACUGAGAGAUCAUUAUCUCUUUACUUUCCUCACUACCUCCCCUAAAGCUUGACAAUGCAGGCUGAUGGGAAUGGGGACACCAGAUAAAAUUAUGGAAUAAAGGAAUUUUUCUCUAUUGUCCGGUUCCCCCUCCCUCCACUGCCCACUCCUCUUUCACUAUCAAGCCAAUCCUGCAAAACUUGCCUUUGUUGACUUGUCAAACAAUCCCGGAGUGGCUGCCCCUCACUGUCAGAGCUGGGCAAGGUUCUACACCACUGCCUUGAGGGAAGGAGGCCUAAGACUGUGUUUUAAGGUGGUAGUCAGCAGAUCUAGUAAACGAACCUGUAUUAAUUUGCUUACGAAUUAAUGGGGGAAGGCCUAAGGCUAUCCAGAUUUCUAUUCACUUCUGCCCCCUAAGUUUCCUAAAUUUAAAGUGCUUUUAAAAUGUGACUGUGUGCUUAGUGGGUACAAGGUCCUGGGUUCAAUCCUUAGCACCAAAACAAAACAAAAAACUGUGACUCUUUGGAGACCAUGAUCCCACUUUUGUUAGGUUUUCACUCCCAAGAAACCACAGCCGUGGGUCUUGGAACAUUUCCCCUGAGGCUGCAGACCAGGGAUCUCCAAACUCACCAACUCCACUUCUAGGGCUCUCAGGGAUGCAAGUGGCAGAGGGGCCACUGAGAAGUUGGUGGGGCUGGAAAGGACAGUGCAUUUUAGUGUAUGCCAUCCAGGAAGUCAGGGCUUAUCUCUAGACCUCAGGUUUCCAUCUUAGAGGAGGAAGUUGAACUAGAUCACCAUUGUACAAUAGAACUGUAAUUCAAGUCACAUACAUAAUGUUUUAUUUUAGCAACCACAUUAAAUGAAGUUAUUUUAAAAAGGGAAUUAAUUUUAAUUAUACAUUUUAUUUAACCCAGUAGAUCACAAAUAGGAUCAUUUCAACAUGUAAUCAACUUUUUAAAUAUUAUUGAGCUACUUUACAUUAUUUUGUCAAACUACAUCCUUAAGAACCCAGUGAGUAUUUUAUACCUACAGCACAUUGUCGCUUUGAACCAGCUGCAUAUCAAGGACUCAAAAGCCAAGUGUGGAUGGUUAGUGGCUACCACUCUGAUCUGAACAGGGUUGGGUUGUCUCUGAAGUCUCUUCCAGCCCUGGCAUUUUAGGACAUCACUAUGUCCAGGGUGAGGUUCAUGACAUCAAGCAAAAGACAUCAAGUCUGAGGAAGAAGCAAAAGCAGAGGGGACAUGAGUCCUGGGAUUUCUUCUCCUUCUGCAUCCCCCUUCACAGGACAAGAAUCUUGGGAAACUUAAUGAGAGUGUGGUGCACGGAGCCAGAACAAAAUCUGGAUGAGAGUCAGGCCAGUGAGCAUCUAGAACACAGAGUUUAGAAGAGGCACUUCACACCCUGGUCUUCAUUCCAGUGGAGGUUUUGGUUCCAAGAGGAGCUCCAGCCAGCCCAAGGCUGGGUCAGAGAAUCCCAUAAAGUGUUCAGACUGGUUCAGUGACAUGAAACCCAACGCAGCUGCAGGAUUCGCCUCUUCCCACUCUUCAGGACAAAAUAAUGCAACCAGUUAUCAGAUGGACUUCUCUCUCCAUCUCUCUGAAGCUGUGUACAGACCAGGGAGGGGAGUCAGUGGUCAGGAAGGUCACAUUGUGCCCAGGGCCACUCUUAUCUCCGCCUCAUAUCUGGUCAGUCCCCACAAACCAGUCUGUUCUCCUUGUUCGUGCCUAACCUAGAGGCAGUAUAUUGAAAUGAAUUUCAAGGAGUUAGGAAGAACUGACCUGGAUCCUACUUAACAGCUCCAUCAGUGGCCUAUCUCCUUAUCCGAAAAAUGUGGCAUUCAUAAAGCUCAAUCCACGGGGUUAUGGGACAUCAAGUACAAUUACAUCUAGCACAUAGGGGAUAUUCCGGAAUAUUCAUUUGCUUACUCUUGAAUUUCUUGAAUUGAAGGUAGGAGGGUAGCUCUUUUGGGGGUGUACUGGGUAUUGAACCCAGGGUGUUUAACCACUAAGCCUGUCUCUUUUUUUUUGGAGACAGAAUCUCAUUAAGGAAGGUAGCUCUUUGAGUCUGUUUGCAAAAGACAAGCAAUGGAGCUGCCAAAAUUGCCUUUCAGUGCCUUACCUUUGGUCAAGGCCUCUCCCUCGCUUCUAUACCCAGACACCCCUAUACCACGAUAUGUGGCUCAGCUUAAAUAAUUAUAUAAAUAAAUGUAUUCAUCUCAUUCAUGCUAAAUACUAAAGCAUUAAAGGACUGAAAGAAUUGCCAGUUGUCCCUCCUGGGAAUAAUUUCUAUUAAAAAAAGAGACAUCCUGGCACUGUGGUGCACACCUGUAAUCCCAGCAACUCAGGAGACUUAGGUAGUAGGAUCACAAGUUCAAAGUCAGCCUCAGCAACUUAGGGAAACCCUGUCUCAAAAUAAAAAAAUAGCAAGGACUGGGGAUAUGGCUCAGUGGUUAAACACCCCUGGGUUCUAUCCUCGGUACAAAAAAAAAGAGAGCCCAUUGACUCUAUUGAGCAAUAUAUAUGAAUGAACACAGCAAUAAGGAUUACUCUCAAAAGAAUAAACAAGCAACAAAAUAAAAAGUACAUACUAUAGACAUACUAUAGACUUCCAAUUAUAAAGCAGGCAAAACUAAUCUGUGAUGACAAAGUAUGUGAGUAAUUGUCUGCAGCAAGGGGUGGAGCCUGAGGGUUUCCUGCAAAGGGACACAAGGAAGUUCCUCAGGGUGACGGACAUGUUCUAUACCUUCAUUGUGGCAACUGUUACAUAGCUGGAUGCAAAAACUGGACAAAUGGUACUCUUAAAAUGGGUGAACUUUAUUGUGUAUAAAUCGCAUAUCAGUAAAGAUCAUUUCAAAAGAAAAAAGGCCUUUUAAAGAGGUCAUAUGUAAUACUUAAAAAAUUAAUCACUAAGAGUAGAAUUCCAAGGAAGCUGAAGGAUGGAUGAUAGAACCAGUCCAUGGGGAAGGUGAGGGGUGGCAUUUCAGGAAAAGACCCUCCCUGAUCUAAAAAUGAUCUGGUGUUCUUUUCAGACAUAAGAAGCUAUUUUGUUUGGAGGGUUUUUUGGGUUUUGUUCUCAUCUUCGUUUUUGGCUUUUUGGUUUUUUGUACUGGGAAUUUAACUCAAUGAGAAGCUAUUUUGGAAAUGUGGUUUAGAAAUCUGAAUAUUUAGGGUUCUGUGAUUACCCAUACUCCUACUUGUUUGCUCUUCACUUCCUGAUUUGGACUAGGAUAUUUAUUCGUUCUACAAAUAUAUAUUGAAUAUUUCUCUGUACCAAGCCCUCUUCUAGGAGGCAGGGAUUCCACCACGAACAAACUGUCCCCAAGUUAGUGGAGGACAAUAAUCAAGGUAAUAAGAUAAUCAAGAUAAGUUAAGCUGAAUAUAGAAAGUGGGGCGCACUGGGGUUGGGAGGAAUUAGAUGCUGUUAUGUAGGGUGGCCAGGGAAGCCCUAUGUGAGAAGGGAACAUUUAGGCAGAGACCUGGAGGUAGUCAUGGAGUGAGCCGGUGGAUAUCUAGGUAGAGGCACCCAGGCAGGGGCACAGCAGUGUAGGGGCCUAUGCUUGGCAUACUGGAGAGGAGGAC